AAAUAACUCAGAAGAAGGCUGAUGUAUGGUCAAUAUGACUGUUUUGCCUUUCUGCGAUAGCUUCUUUAGUACUUGUACGACGCUGUGUGCCAUAAAUGAGUCCAAACCUGAUGUAGGUUCAUCACAAAUCAAUAGUGGGGGAUCCGUUAGCGCCUCCGAAGCAAAUGCCAAGCGUUUACGUUCGCCACCGGAUAAGCCUUUCACACGACCCGGCACGCCAAUCAAAGUAUUUUGGCAUUUGCCCAGCGAGAGAUCUUGAAUAACCUGAUCCACACGUUGUAUCUUUUGCUUUUUCGUCGUAUGCCUUGGCAUACGCACCAUUGCCUGAAAGAUGAGAUGCUCUCGUGCGGUGAGCGAACCAAUGAAUAGAUCAUCCUGUUGAACAUAAGCACAACGUGCUUGCAUUUCCUUGGCAUCAAUGGGAUGACCGUUGAGCAAGCGUACGGUAGAUGGAGAUAUUUGAAUAUCUUUCGAUGAGCGAAAGGCAAUCGCAUUCAGAAGUGUGGUUUUACCGGCACCAGAGCUGCCCAUGAUCGCUAGCAAUUCACCCGGAUAAGCGACGCCGGAAACUGGAAAGCAAAUUGAGCAGUUUGAGAGUAUGUUUACGCGGCGCAGGAAUAUGACGCUCAUUGCAUAAAACCCCUUUUACACGAUUCAGCAGUUGUUUCCAGCCCGAACCCGGUUGAUGGACAGCACCGAACACAUCCAAAUUAUACCAAGAGUAGGUGAGAUUAUCCGCGUGUUCCGUGCAUUUCCGCGCAGUACCACGGUCAGGAACUUCUUAAGGGCACUUAAGAGUGUGACCUCAACUCAAAAAAUCUUGGGACAACUUGCGUGAUUUUUCAACCAUACAGUCUACUGGUAGAUAUACCAAAAACCGGCGGAAGUGGCACAACAAACGACGGUAACACUGCACGUAGAUUUUUCGAAGAUACAUUAAAAUCGUCUGAAAUAACCGGGAUUGAUGAGAAUUUAAUUAGAAGAUUCAAAGUUAUUCUUCAGACUCUGGCUUGUGGAUUCGCUAUGAAUGCAAAUGCAUACGAACAAUAUGCUCUUGAAACUGCUAGACUUUUUGUUGAAAAAUAUGGUUGGUAUAAAAUGCCCGCGUCUGUUCACAAAAUCCUUCUACACGGUGCUGUCAUAAUUUCAAACUCAAUUUUGCCAAUCGGGAAGUUAUCAGAAGAAGCACAGGAGUCAGGUAACAAAAAUUAUAAAAUGUACAGGCUAAGUCACACAAGGAAGUUUUCACGAACUCAUACAAACCAAGAUUUAUUAAAUAUUCUUCUUGUCUCAUCAUAUCCUUUAAUUUCGAGCUUACAAAAAACUCCAAGAAAAAAAUCUAAAUCAUUUUCAGCUGAUGUCAUUGCUCUUUUGAAAAUGCCUGAUAUUCCACAAACUAUCACACAAAACGAAGAAUCGGAAAACGAUGAAACCUCAGAUGAGGAAUAUAACAAAGUUUAUUAAAAUUUAAAAAAUUUUAAAAAUUUAGAAAAUU